rnacentral:ribozyme from 1 species
CUCUUUCUAUGUACUGAGCCUCUACGCGGCGGAAGAGAUCAACAGACGCAAGUCUGGCUAAUACAGUA